UACAGAGGUCCCAAGCGUUGUUCGGAUUCAUUGGGCGUAAAGGGUGCGUAGGUGGCGCCGUAAGUCGGGUGUGAAAUUUCGGAGCUUAACUCCGAAACUGCAUUCGAUACUGCUGUGCUUGAGGACUGGAGAGGAGACUGGAAUUCAUGGUGUAGCAGUGAAAUGCGUAGAGAUCAUGAGGAAGACCAGUGGCGAAGGCGGGUCUCUGGACAGUUCCUGACACUGAGGCACGAAGGCCAGGGGAGCAAACAGG
rnacentral:rRNA from 1 species